rnacentral:tRNA from 1 species
GCCGAAGUGGCGGAACUGGCAGACGCGCCGGACUCAAAAUCCGGUCCCGUUCACGCGGGGUGUGGGUUCGAUUCCCACCUUCGGCACCA